rnacentral:rRNA from 1 species
UAAAGCAAGAAAGGGCGUAUGGGGAAUGCCUAGGCACACUCCGGCGAAGAAGGACGCAGCAAACAGCGAAAUGCGACGGUGAGCGGUAAGCACGUGAAGAGCCGUCGAUAUCCGAAUGGGGGAACCCACACGGAGUCAUAUCCGUGUAUCACAUGUCGAAUACAUAGACAUGAUGAGGCGAGACGCAGGGAACUGAAACAUCUAAGUACCUGCAGGAAGAGAAAAUAAGAAUGAUUUUCUGAGUAGCGGCGAGCGAAAGGGAAAGAGCCCAAACCGAUCUGAGGAUCGGGGUAGUAGGAUCAUCGAUAAAUCAAACAGAGGAUCAUAGAGGAAUCACAUGGGAAGGUGAGCGAGAGAGGGUGAGAGCCCCGUACUCGAAAUGAGAGACUGGAGAGAGAUGACACCUGAGUAGGGCGGGACACGAGAAAUCCUGUCUGAAUCAGCCGGGACCAUCCGGCAAGGCUAAAUACGAGAGAGUGACCGAUAGUGAACCAGUACCGUGAGGGAAAGGUGAAAAGAACCCCGGGAGGGGAGUGAAAGAGAACCUGAAACCAUAUGCCUACAAGAAGUCAGAGCCCGUUAAAGGGUGAUGGCGUGCCUUUUGUAGAAUGAACCGGCGAGUUACUGUAUGGAGCGAGGUUAAGCAGGAUAUGCGGAGCCGAAGCGAAAGCGAGUCUUAAGAGGGCGCGAGUUGCAUGCAGUAGACCCGAAACCGGGUGAUCUAGCCAUGACCAGGUUGAAGUUGGGGUAAAACCCGAUGGAGGACCGAACCGACCCCCGUUGAAACGUUGGCGGAUGAGUUGUGGCUAGGGGUGAAAUUCCAAUCGAACCCGGAGAUAGCUGGUUCUCCCCGAAAUAGCUUUAGGGCUAGCGUCGAGAGAAGAGUUGCGUGAAGGUAGAGCACUGAAUAUGUGAUGGCCCCAUCUCGGGGUACUGAGCAUAAUCAAACUGCGAAUGUCACGCCAACAUGCUCGGCAGUCAGACAGCGGGUGAUAAGGUCCGUUGUCAAGAGGGAAACAGCCCAGACCAUCAGCUAAGGUCCCAAAAUGUAUGCUAAGUGGAAAAGGAUGUGGAGAUGUACAGACAACUAGGAGGUUGGCUCAGAAGCAGCCAUCCUUUAAAGAGUGCGUAACAGCUCACUAGUCGAAUGACUCUGCGCCGAUAAUUUACCGGGGCUAAGCAUACUACCGAAGCUAUGGAUCCCAAGGGAUGGUAGGGGAGCGUUCCAUGAACGGAGAAGUACGACCGAAAGGACGUGUGGAGAUCAUGGAAGAGAGAAUGCCGGUGUGAGUAGCGGAACGUGGGUGAGAAUCCCACGCACCGAAAACCCAAGGUUUCCAGAGGAAGGUUCGUCCGCUCUGGGUAAGUCGGGACCUAAGGCGAGGCCGAAAGGCGUAGUCGAUGGACAACAGGUAGAGAUUCCUGUACCCGUAUAUAUGUGAAGGAAUGACGGAGAGAGGAAGCUGCAGCCAGCGGCUGGAAGAGCUGGUGCAAGCGAGAUAUCGGGAUGGCAGGCAAAUCCACCAUCCGAAACGAGAAGGCGUGAAGCGUACGGAAAGCUACGGCGAGUACGGAAGGCAGUGGAGGAACUUCCAAGAAAAGUUUCUAACGUUAAGUAUAUAUGGCCCGUACCGAAAAUGGACACACAUGGGUGAGGAGAGAAUCCUAAGGUGAGCGAGAGAACUAUAGCUAAGGAACUCUGCAAAAUGACUCCGUAACUUAGGGAGAAGGAGUGCUCAUAGAGAUAUGAGCCGCAGUGAAACGGCCCAAGCGACUGUUUACCAAAAACACAGCUCUCUGCUAAGCCGCAAGGCGAAGUAUAGGGGGUGACGCCUGCCCGGUGCUGGAAGGUUAAGGGGAGGGGUUAACGCAAGUGAAGCCCUGAACUGAAGCCCCAGUAAACGGCGGCCGUAACUAUAACGGUCCUAAGGUAGCGAAAUUC